rnacentral:lncRNA from 1 species
CCAGAUCUUUAAUACGAGCACUUUAGGGGGACGUUUCUGACACAGACUGUGACGGUAUUUCUGUGAGAUCACCGAUUCAGGACUAUGGUGUGCAGCUGUCUCCUGCGUAAGGAGUAUACUGACUGCCCAGAGCGGUCCGCGGUACUGCAGCAGGCCAGGUGACUAUCAGUUCAUUCGGCAAGUUGAAUACAUUCACUCUUUAUCUGUCACAUCCUCCUCAUUCCAGGCUGGGCAGCCGGCCAUGUGCUCCCGUCACAUUGUACAGCACGAGCCUAGCUGCUCACAGAACCUCGCGAUCGGAAAGGAUUGAAAUCCCCGAAUGCCUGACGUUCACCCCACCCAGAGCCUGGGAAACCGGCGGGAGCCUCGGGGGCUCGCGUCUCAGUGGCCGCGGCCGCUGUG